AAGAACCCUGUUCCCCAGGAACUGCCCCAACACCUCGAGCAGGUGCCUCCCCUCUCCAAUGAAGCCUCUCCCGUCCGCCCGGCCCAGAAACUGGGCAACUUACUGGUUUCGGCAUUUUCGGUUUCUGGGACACACUGCUGUUUGGGCAACCCUUUGUCAGGGCCUGUUAUCUCCCACUUGCAGAUCCAGGGCAUUUCAGAGGUCAGAGAGAGGAGGGAGGCCUCUUCUGAGAUUUUGACCUCUAUUCAGGUUCUACAUUCAUGGAAUCAGCCAACCUUGGAUGGAAAAGAUUUGGAAAAUAAUAAAAAUAAUACUACAAUUAAAAUACCAAUAAAAAUCCAAUACAGAAU
rnacentral:lncRNA from 10 species